rnacentral:rRNA from 2 species
UAUACCGUGAACUGCGAAUGGCUCAUUAAAUCAGUUAUCGUUUAUUUGAUAGUACCUUACUACUUGGAUAACCGUGGUAAUUCUAGAGCUAAUACAUGCUGAAAACCCCAACUUCGGGAGGGGUGUAUUUAUUAGAUAAAAAACCAACGCCCUUCGGGGCUUCUUGGUGAUUCAUGAUAACUUUACGGAUCGCAUGGCCUUGCGCCGGCGACGGUUCAUUCAAAUUUCUGCCCUAUCAACUUUCGAUGGUAAGGUAUUGGCUUACCAUGGUUUCAACGGGUAACGGGGAAUUAGGGUUCGAUUCCGGAGAGGGAGCCUGAGAAACGGCUACCACAUCCAAGGAAGGCAGCAGGCGCGCAAAUUACCCAAUCCCGACACGGGGAGGUAGUGACAAUAAAUACUGAUACAGGGCUCUUUUGGGUCUUGUAAUUGGAAUGAGUACAAUUUAAACCUCUUAACGAGGAACAAUUGGAGGGCAAGUCUGGUGCCAGCAGCCGCGGUAAUUCCAGCUCCAAUAGCGUAUAUUAAAGUUGUUGCAGUUAAAAAGCUCGUAGUUGAAACUUGGGUCUGGCUGGCAGGUCCGCCUCACCGCGUGUACUUGUCCGGCCGGGCCUUCCUUCUGGAGAACCUCAUGCCCUUCACUGGGCGUGUUGGGGACCAGGACUUUUACUUUGAAAAAAUUAGAGUGUUCAAAGCAGGCCUUUGCUCGAAUACGUUAGCAUGGAAUAAUAGAAUAGGACGUGCGGUCCUAUUUUGUUGGUUUCUAGGACCGCCGUAAUGAUUAAUAGGGACAGUCGGGGGCAUCAGUAUUCAAUUGUCAGAGGUGAAAUUCUUGGAUUUAUUGAAGACUAACUACUGCGAAAGCAUUUGCCAAGGAUGUUUUCAUUAAUCAGUGAACGAAAGUUAGGGGAUCGAAGACGAUCAGAUACCGUCGUAGUCUUAACCGUAAACUAUGCCGACUAGGGAUCGGGCGAUGUUCUUUUUCUGACUCGCUCGGCACCUUACGAGAAAUCAAAGUU